CGUGCACCAGUGGGGUCCCUUGGCCUGGCCUGUGGGAAUCCACUCUCUGACAUCCCCCAAGGGGUCCCAGAUUGUGAGAGGGUGCAGGCCAGGCUGAGGGACCCCACUGGUGCACA
rnacentral:pre_miRNA from 1 species